rnacentral:rRNA from 1 species
AUUGAACGCUGGCGGAAUGCUUUACGCAUGCAAGUCGAGCGGCAGCACGGGGGCAACCCUGGUGGCGAGCGGCUAACGGGUGAGUAAUACAUCGGAACAUGCCCAGCCGUGGGGGAUAACACUUCGAAAGAAGUGCUAAUACCGCAUACGUCCGGAGGGAGAAAGCGGGGGAUCUGCGGACCUCGCGCGAUUGGAGUGGGCGAUGUCAGAUUAGCUAGUUGGUGGGGUAAAGGCCUACCAAGGCAACGAUCAGUAGCUGGUCUGAGAGGACGAUCAGCCACACUGGGACUGAGACACGGCCCAGACUCCUACGGGAGGCAGCAGCGGGGAAUUUUGGACAAUGGGGGCAACCCUGAUCCAGCAAUGCCGCGUGAGUGAAGAAGGCCUUCGGGUUGUAAAGCUCUUUUGUCAGGGAAGAAACAGCAGCUCUAACACAGUUUGCGAAUGACGGUACCUGAAGAAUAAGCACCGGCUAACUACGUGCCAGCCGCCGCUGUAACAC